rnacentral:tRNA from 1 species
GCGCCUGUAGCUCAGGGGAUAGAGCAUCGGUUUCCUAAACCGGGUGUCGGAGGUUCGAAUCCUUCCAGGCGCACCA